AGGCCAAUCUACCCUGAGCCAGCAGGUCAAGUCCACCCUUCCUUGGGCAGGGAGAAUCUGGCUUUGACAGGAGUGAACUAAUUCUCCAAGGAGAAUUUGCUCAGCAGCCCAGUUUGGCAAAGGAUCUGCUAGCUGAAUCAUCAAGUCGAGGAAAGCUGAUUUUCCAAAUACCAAUCGCCAACUUAGCAAACACCAAUGCUCUUUUUAAAGUGUUUACGUCAGGCAGCUAAACACACAGGCUCUCAUGUCUGCCUGUCACGAACAUCCAAAGAAUGGCCGUCCAUCUGCCUCUGCUUCCUCACACUUCAGCUUCACAGAGCUGGGGUUGUAGGAGAUACUGUACCCACAAAUCCUCCACAUGCUGAGCCCUCCCACCAUAGUGGAGCCUUAUUCAUCCAGACUCUUAGAUACCCGGCUCCUGGAUCAUCAAAGGAGGCUGUGCCCAGCAUGUUAUGAAAUCCCACACAUAUCCAGGAUAUCAGUCAGACUCCUGGUGGAAGCCAGAGAGCACGUUCAGAUGUAUGCUCACGGAAAGGGGGCAUUCACAAGGUGAACAAUAAGAGAUCCUGGGACACUAAAACAGAAAUUAUGACAACUACUAUCUCUGGUUAUCUCAGAGGGGCACAGAGAGCUUCCUGUCUCCUAGAGCUGUGACUGUGGAAGAAUCAGGGGACAGAGGCUACAGCCAUCAUCAGAGAAACAUGGCCACUUCUAAACUAUGCACAACAAGGAGGCAGCUGGGGGAUAGCGACCACUCCUCUUCCUCCCCAGACUCGAACCAGCACCUUCCCUCUGAGCAGUCCCGAUCAGGCUCACAGCCAGGAGCCCAGAAAUGUGUGGAACAAAAAAGGAAAUAGAGCCCAUUGUCAAGCUCCAUUUCAGAGAACUGAGAGACCAGAGGGAUUUGGAAACUCAAAAGUCAAUGAGCUUGUGUUCCUCCUCCACCUCCCAAAUGCUCCCAUCUUCCCCAACCACAGCACAGUGCGCAGAACCAGGAAACUGAGAGCAGCACACAGGAAGAAAUUCACAAAAGAAGUACAUUAACUUAACUAAAGGACUUAAAGUUAUCAAUCAAAUCAUCCGUUGUCUUCAUUUGAGUUUGUUUGUUUUGCUUUGUUGCUGAUUUUGUUUUUGGUUUGUUUUGGUUUUUGUGUGUGUUUGUUUUUUGAGACAGGGUCAUAUAACCCAAGCUGGCCUUUAAUUCACUGCAUAGCUAAGGAUAGCCUUGAACUCCUGAUUUUUAAAUGAAUUUAUAUUAGUUUACUGGAUCAAAUUGAACAUACUAGCUAGGUAGGCAUGGUGACUCACAAUUAUAAUCUCAACAUUCAACUGUGGAGGGCCCCAAAACAGCUUGACCACACAGCAGCCAUGACAGGCUUAGGGGCCUAGACGCAGCUUCUGUGACAGGCUGACUGGCAGGCAACACCCAGACCCAGGAAAAACCUUAAGAUGAUACCUUAACCCAGGGGUGAGGAAGUACCUGACACCCCAAACAUUCCAACCAUUA